rnacentral:rRNA from 1 species
UGGGGAAUUUUGGACAAUGGGGGAAACCCUGAUCCAGCCAUCCCGCGUGUGCGAUGAAGGCCUUCGGGUUGUAAAGCACUUUUGGCAGGAAAGAAACGUCGCGGGUUAAUACCCCGCGAAACUGACGGUACCUGCAGAAUAAGCACCGGCUAACUACGUGCCAGCAGCCGCGGUAAUACGUAGGGUGCAAGCGUUAAUCGGAAUUACUGGGCGUAAAGCGUGCGCAGGCGGUUCGGAAAGAAAGAUGUGAAAUCCCAGAGCUUAACUUUGGAACUGCAUUUUUAACUACCGGGCUGGAGUGUGUCAGAGGGAGGUGGAAUUCCGCGUGUAGCAGUGAAAUGCGUAGAUAUGCGGAGGAACACCGAUGGCGAAGGCAGCCUCCUGGGAUAACACUGACGCUCAUGCACGAAAGCGUGGGGAGCAAACAGGAUUAGAUACCCUGGUAGUCCACGCCCUAAACGAUGUCAACUAGCUGUUGGGGCCUUCGGGCCUUGGUAGCGCAGCUAACGCGUGAAGUUGACCGCCUGGGGAGUACGGUCGCAAGAUUAAAACUCAAAUGAA